UACGUAGGGAGCAAGCGUUGUUCGGAUUUACUGGGCGUAAAGGGCGCGUAGGCGGCAACUCAAGUCAGCUGUGAAAUCUCCGAGCUUAACUCGGAACGGUCAGCUGAUACUGUUUUGCUAGAGUGCAGAAGGGGCAAUCGGAAUUCCAGGUGUAGCGGUGAAAUGCGUAGAUAUCCUGAGGAGGGCCGGGUGGGAGGGCGGCGCGCUGGGUCCCUUCUGACGCUGAGGCGCGAAAGCCAGGGGAGCAAACGGG
rnacentral:rRNA from 1 species